rnacentral:misc_RNA from 1 species
AGACAGACUAGCUGGCAUUAAAGACCAUUCAUCAAUAUAAUAUUUCCCUCUUCUCCACACAUCACACUUCAGCUAAAAGUUUCACACACAAACAACAUAAACAGCAAACAAUUUAAGGAUCCUGCUCAAAAACCAUGUAUCUUGAUUUGAUCCUUCUUGACGAGGCCAGCCUGAACAAGGAACUGAGAGACGUUCUUGCGCUGAUCGCCUUGAAGUUGGAUUAUCUUCCCCAGCUCUUUAUCCUGAACAACAUUCCCGUUGCAACAGAAGUCCUUCUUCAGGUCCUUAAGGAUCUUAUCAUAGCUGAACUCUUUCUUAAGCCCUUGAACUGUCGUUAGACACUUCUUUCCAUUCCUCUGUUGGACCCUUAUAUGGACGUAUUCUUUGGUUCCGGGGGCAUCCGAGUCUUUGGCGUCAGCAAAGGGAUCGA